rnacentral:rRNA from 1 species
AAUAUUGGUCAAUGGGCGCAAGCCUGAACCAGCCAUCCCGCGUGCAGGAAGACGGCCCUAUGGGUUGUAAACUGCUUUUCCAGGAGGAGAAACUCUCGUACGUGAUACGGGAUUGACGGUACCCUGGGAAUAAGCAUCGGCUAACUCCGUGCCAGCAGCCGCGGUAAUACGGAGGAUGCAAGCGUUAUCCGGAUUCAUUGGGUUUAAAGGGUGCGUAGGCGGACUAUUAAGUCAGUGGUGAAAUCCUGCAGCUUAACUGCAGAACUGCCGUUGAUACUGAUAGUCUUGAGUUUGGUUAAGGUAGGCGGAAUGUGUAAUGUAGCGGUGAAAUGCUUAGAUAUUACACAGAACACCGAUUGCGUAGGCAGCUUACUGAGCCGACACUGACGCUGAGGCACGAAAGCGUGGGGAUCGAACAGGAUUAGA